GUCAGUUUUCCCUGUCAUUUCAUAUAUUUUUAUUAUUAUUUGUUAUCACCUUUUUUUACCUCUACCUUUUGCACGUAUCCUAUAUAUGUAUAUAUAUAUAAGUAGACAUACGUAUGUAAUUAUACUAAAAAGAGAAGGAAAGAGAGAGAGAGAGAGACAGAGUAAGCACAUUUUCAUUGUCAGCAAAAUGUGGCAAAAUACAUGUGAAGUAAUUUUCGAGAGAAAUUAAAGUACAGGUGCAACAACAGCUAGUAUGGGAACAGGGAAAACUGAAAGAGUGAAACAGUAGAUAUAAAAAGAGAGAGAAGAAGUGAGAAAGGGUGAAAGAUAUCAUAUAUAUAAGAGAAACAAAUAAAUAGUGCAAUUGUACGUUUGCUUGAGUUGGCUGUUUUAUUAAACGUAAUUUUAGUCUGUCAUGUUCGAGACACAGACAGAGAUUCCAGACAAGGGAGGGUUUUCUCAUCACCGACCAACGGCAUCCACGGAAGACCUUUCGCCGCAAGUCAGAGAUAGUCAAAGCUGCUCGAGCAACUCGACUGGCCAAAGUGAACGACGUUUGAGCCCCAGUCUCAUUUCCGUCGGUUCUUGUGUCUGUCGGAUCUGUCAUCAUCCAAGUGGUAUUACUGAGACACUUGUGUCACCUUGUAGAUGCAAAGGAACACUAGAGUAUGUUCAUCUUUCAUGUUUGGAACGGUGGUUAAACCAGUCUUGUCGUAACCACUGUGAGUUGUGUCGCUACCGUUUCAAUGCUGUAGAGACGCCUCGUUAUCACUGGCAAGAAUCAUUGAGAAUAUGGAUGAGCCACCCAAGAAAUUUGCAUCACUUAAAGUCUGACCUUGUGGUACUCACACUACUUACACUAGUUACACUGGGUCUCGUGGUGAUUUGUUUACUGGGCAUGAGAUAUUUUAUUAUCGAGGGAAGAAAAAUCGGUAUAUCAAGACUGUGGACACGUGGUGCUAUAGUUUUUUUUAUUACCAUUGUCAUUCUUGGAUACUGUACUACCGUUUAUCUUCUUGUCAAGGAACAGCUUGCACCCUGGUACAGAUGGUGGAAAACUACAGUGAACAUAAGAUUGGUGACGGAAUCACUAGAACAACAGCAGCAUCAUCAACAGGGAACGAGUCGAGGUUCGAUAAUUCCAGGUCAUCUGGGUGAGGAAACUACCGACACAACUACCAGCAAAUGUACGAUUUCGAUCAAUGAAAUACAAGUUGAUGCUGAGAAAGCAGUUGCAUUUAAAGUUUAACGCGACGGGCUUUUAAUCAGCGAAUGAAAGUAGAGAUGCAAUUCCUGACGAUGAGAAAAUAAAAAUAAAAAAAAAAAUCUGGAGCUAAGAAAAAUAAAUGAGCGAGUAGUAAUUUCCGUUGGCAGAACGUGUAAGCUAAAUUUUAUUCAGAGGGCGACAGUUGUACAAGUUAUUGGCAUACCCAACCAAUACCGAGUUGUAUUCCAAUUUUCCAGAUGGUCGAGCUACAGGAAUAAAAUAUUGCACUGACGAAACGGGUUGAAAUGAUAUACAGUCAAAAUUCAGAAAGAAUCGACGUACUUUUUUUUUUUUUUAAACUCUGAGCAGUUGUACAGUUUAUACACCCUCUGCUCUACACAUCUCUACCUCUGUCUCUGUCUCUAUUUUUAUACGUACUGUUAUUUUAUAAAUUUUAUUUUUAGCUCAUAUUUUCCGCGCAUACUCGAUAACUACUUUUUAUACAAAUUGUUUUUUAAAUUUAAAUUUUCUUGUAUGUAAAAUUUUUUUUCAUUUUUUUCAAUUUAUAAUUAAAUUCCGUAGAGUUGGUUGAAGUCUUUUAUUAUACGUCAUUUCGUAGGAAGUAAAACAGAUCGUAAUGCAGAAAUAUUUACCUGGUAACAGGAAAAGUUGUGAAAAUGCCGAGGUUAAUAUUCAUUAAAAUACAGAAUGAGAUGGAGAGCGAAUGGUGGUGGUGAUGAGGGUGGUAGUGGCAGAGUAAUUGCAAAGUUGCAGAUGCCAGGCCGUCGUUCAGGCCAAUAAUAAAUUUUUCACAACAACUUGAGUCUCAUUCUCUUUAUAUUUAUAUACAUAAAUAUGUAAAGACAUAUAAUUGUCA